CCUACGGGUGGCAGCAGUGGGGAAUAUUGCACAAUGGGGGAAACCCUGAUGCAGCGACGCCGCGUGAGUGAAGAAGUCUUUCGGUACGUAAAGCUCUAUCAGCAGGGAAGAAAAUGACGGUACUUGACUAAGAAGCCCCGGCUAACUACGUGCCAGCAGCCGCGGCAAUACGAAGGGGGCAAGCGUUAUCCGGAUUUACUGGGUGUAAAGGGGGCGUAGACGGCAGCGCAAGUCUGAGGUGAAAACCCAUGGCUUAACCAUGGAACUGCUUUUGAAACUGUGUAGCUGGAGUGCAGGAGAGGUAAGCGGAAUUCCGAGUGUAGCGGUGAAAUGCGUAGAUAUUAGGAGGAACACCAGUGGCGAAGGCGGCUUACUGGACAGUAACUGACGUUGAGGCGCGAAAGCGUGGGGAGCAAACAGGAUUAGAUACCCCGGUAGUC
rnacentral:rRNA from 1 species